rnacentral:rRNA from 1 species
GCGGAGGAAAAGAAACUAACAAGGAUUCCCCUAGUAACUGCGAGUGAAGCGGGAAAAGCUCAAAUUUAAAAUCUGGUGGU